CUCUUUGGAAAGACCAGUUAUCUUACGAUCACCGAAGUUAAGCAACGUUGAGCCUGGUCAUUACCUAGAUGGGUGACAACUUGGGAAUGCCAGGUAGUGUAA